rnacentral:tRNA from 1 species
CGGGAAGUAGCUCAAGCUGGUAGAGCACUUGGUUUGGGACCAAGGGGUCAGCGGUUCGAUCCCGCUAGUCUCCACCA